rnacentral:rRNA from 1 species
UACGAAGGGGGCUAGCGUUGUUCGGAAUUACUGGGCGUAAAGCGCGCGUAGGCGGAUUGUUAAGUCGAGGGUGAAAUCCUGGAGCUCAACUCCAGAACUGCCUCCGAUACUGGCAAUCUCGAGUCCGGAAGAGGUGAGUGGAAUUCCUAGUGUAGAGGUGGAAUUCGUAGAUAUUAGGAAGAACACCAGUGGCGAAGGCGGCUCACUGGUCCGGUACUGACGCUCAAGUGCGAAAGCGUGGGGAGCAAACAGG